AUUGAACGCUGGCGGCAUGCCUUACACAUGCAAGUCGAACGGCAGCACGGGAGCAAUCCUGGUGGCGAGUGGCGAACGGGUGAGUAAAGUAUCGGAACGUGCCCAGUCGUGGGGGAUAACGUAGCGAAAGUUACGCUAAUACCGCAUACGAUCUAUGGAUGAAAGCGGGGGAUCGCAAGACCUCGCGCGAUUGGAGCGGCCGAUAUCAGAUUAGGUAGUUGGUGGGGUAAAGGCUCACCAAGCCGACGAUCUGUAGCUGGUCGGAGAGGACGACCAGCCACGCUGGGACUGAGACACGGCCCAGACUCCUACGGGAGGUAACAGUGGGGAAUUUUGGACGAUGGGCGAAAGCCUGAUCCAGCCAUGCCGCGUGCAGGAUGAAGGCCUUCGGGUUGUAAACUGCUUUUGUACGGAACGAAAAGGUUUGGGCUAAUAAGCUGAGCUCAUGACGGUACCGUAAGAAUAAGCACCGGCUAACUACGUGCCAGCCGCCGCGGUAA
rnacentral:rRNA from 1 species